GGGGAGGGGCAGCGGCGGCGCCAGGCGCCGUCCGCCGGCGGGUGUUACCCGUGUGGCUGCUGCCGGUGACGAGCCGCGGGCUCGGCCGGCCGAGCCGCGCGCUACGUGGUUGCGCGAGGCAGAGGCGGCCCCGCGCGGGGGAGGGAGCCGCCGCCGCGCCGGGAAGUUCAAAUGUCCGGUGCUCGUCGGGCCGCGCUGCUGCCCCGGACGGGGCACCCCGCGGGCGUGGAGAGCCGACUUAGGGGCGUCGUGUCUUCCCGUUGCUGGGAAGUGCCUCGGAGGUGCAUUGUCUCCAGUAUUUGAAAGUGGCUUUUUUCCCUUUCUUUCUUUAUUUCAGGUUAAAAAGCCCAUUUCCUUCAGCACAGUUUAUCUUAAGUCAUUUACAGAGAUGGCACGCGUUUUUUGUGUGUGUGUGUGUGUGUGUGUGUUUUUUUUUUUUUUUUUUUAACUACAGGACACACACGAAGAUAGGAAAUGUGUUUCAGCCUUGUCUGGUUUUCUUUUUAUCUUCUCUCCUUGAGACCAAGGCUGAAAGUUAAUGAAAAAGCUAUAGACUCUCUCCAUCCCCUGGCUUUUAAUCUUUUCUUUUUCAGUUGUAAACCCUUAUAUUUUUUCAGUAUAGGUGCAGGCUACUGUGCAGCAAAUUGAGGCCUACAGACAAGAAGAAAGUGCUUGCACAUUAGCUGGGCUAAUGAAGUACUGAGUUACUGUGGAAAGAGGCAGUCCCAUUCCUCCCCCUCCACCUCCUUCUGCAGGUUCCCCAUCCUUUGUGUCUGAGCCAGCAACCCUGCAGAUGUGUGGUAAAUCAAUUCAGAUACCUGUUUUGUUUGUUUGUUUGCUUCCAGGGAUAGUUUUCUGCCUGAGCAGCCAGCUGAACUGACUGACUGACUCACUCUGUGGCUGCUUGAUCACUGGAUCUGAUCCAAUGAAAGUGGCAGGAGCACAUACCCUGGGAAGAACAAAAGAGGGGCCUUGAGAGACAAGGGUGGGACCCGAGGAAUCAAGACACAUCUGUCAACAAAAACCACAAUAGUAAAGAUAAACAGCCUACCUAGGGACAGUGAUGAGACCCAAUAAGGAGCAGGAGACCCCAGACCAAAAUAUUACUAUUGGUCCAAAGUACCACGUGAGGGGUGGAGAGCUUAGACUGGAAGGUAUAAUUGCCCAGGGAUUUCUUUGUUCGGGGUCCCUCUUCGGAGGCACCCAGCUCGAGCUUUAAUUACUGCACACGUGUCAUUAAAAUGUAAUUAUUUAAUUUGCUUUGAUUUGGCUCCAAACUUUUCUGCGGGAACCUAGGGUCGGGCCCUGUUAUGGUGGCCGACAAGCCUAAUUUCCAUAACAGUUUGGCGACCCAGAUGGGACCCUAGGCGACCACUGUCGGGGCCUCUCAUCUCCAAACGAUCAUCUGGCACCAUCAGGUGAGUUCACCUGGGAUCUUUGGCAAAGAGAGGCACCGAGAAGGUGAGUCUUAAAUUCCCGCCUAAAUUCUGCGGGAACCUAGGGUCGGGCCCUGUUAUGGUGGCCGACAAGCCUAAUUUCCAUAACAGGGCUCAUGAAAGCAGUCUGGCAUAUAUAUUUAAUUUUUCAAUGUACAUGCAUGUAGCCUAGCAUAAGAACAAAUAUAUUUUCUUAUGUGAUUUCAUAAUAUGUAUCAUUGUUAAAAGUCUUGACAGUUUUAUUUGCAAGCUCUGACAUUUUCUUUCCAUCUGCAAAUAAAGAAAGCCUUGAACACA